rnacentral:rRNA from 1 species
AUGCACGCUGGCGGCGUGCCUCAUCCCUGCCAGUCGCGCGAACAGACGAGGAGCUUGCUCCUCUGACGUUAGCGGCGGACGGGUGAGUAACACGUGGAUAACCUACCUAUAAGACUGGGAUAACUUCGGGAAACCGGAGCUAAUACCGGAUAAUAUAUUGAACCGCAUGGUUCAAUAGUGAAAGACGGUUUUGCUGUCACUUAUAGAUGGAUCCGCGCCGCAUUAGCUAGUUGGUAGGUAACGGCUUACCAAGGCAACGAUGCGUAGCCGACCUGAGAGGGUGAUCGGCCACACUGGAACUGAGACACGGUCCAGACUCCUACGGGAGGCAGCAGUAGGGAAUCUUCCGCAAUGGGCGAAAGCCUGACGGAGCAACGCCGCGUGAGUGAUGAAGGUCUUCGGAUCGUAAAACUCUGUUAUUAGGGAAGAACAAAUGUGUAAGUAACUAUGCACGUCUUGACGGUACCUAAUCAGAAAGCCACGGCUAACUACGUG